UGGGGAAUUUUGGACAAUGGGCGAAAGCCUGAUCCAGCAAUGCCGCGUGUGUGAAGAAGGCCUUCGGGUUGUAAAGCACUUUUGUCCGGAAAGAAAUCCUUGGCUCUAAUACAGUCGGGGGAUGACGGUACCGGAAGAAUAAGCACCGGCUAACUACGUGCCAGCAGCCGCGGUAAUACGUAGGGUGCAAGCGUUAAUCGGAAUUACUGGGCGUAAAGCGUGCGCAGGCGGUUUGCUAAGACCGAUGUGAAAUCCCCGGGCUCAACCUGGGGAACUGCAUUGGUGACUGGCAGGCUAGAGUAUGGCGGAGGGGGGUAGAAUUCCACGUGUGAGCAGUGAAAUGCGUAGAGAUGUGGAGGAAUACCGAUGGCGAAGGCAGCCCCCUGGGCCAAUACUGACGCUCAUGCACGAAAGCGUGGGGGAGCAAACAGGAUUAGAAUACCCUGGUAGUCCACGCCCUAAACGAUGUCAACUA
rnacentral:rRNA from 1 species